rnacentral:lncRNA from 1 species
AAUAAUGAGAAAUGAAAAUAAUUUGCCUGGUUUUAUUGACAAAGUUUUCAAAAUAUCAAACUACUGUAUAUGCAAAGCACCUGCCAAUAAAUAGGAUGGCCACCAAAUCAAAUGGUACUUGACAGGAUUUUAACCCACCCCCGGAGUCCUUGAUUCCUUAAAAUUUAUAUUAAAUAUUUUUGAAUUGUUUUGUUUUUCCUUAGAUGACACUGAAUCCUAUUAUGGUUACAUUUUAUUUGAGCAAUAAACCAGUAUGGAACUAAAAAGUCAAUAAGAUGGCAUUAUUUCAUCAAAAGACCAACUUAUUUGAAUGAGUUAGAUAGCAGAAUAGAGCUUUCUAAAACAUUAGUGCUUCAUUUGGGUUAUUAAGAGAAUCUGCUUAUAAAUUCACGAGUCAGAGUCCAUUUUUUUUCCUAGGGAAAUCUGUUCUCUUUAGGUGAAUACAGAGCCUCACGAGCAAGUACAUGUCAGCCACAAUAGAUGGAGACAUUAAGGUCAUCACAGCAGUGACUGAUGGGCUUCUGCCUUCUCCCACUUCUAGGCAAUCUUGAGCUCUUUGACCAGAGUGCCUUAGAAUUUAUAACAUUAUACUAUUGGCAGAUAACUCAAAAAUAAAUACACACGGAUUUUUAAUAAAUUAUUGAUGAAGAUGACAUAAUUGAGCUUGUGAAGAUAGGGCCUAUUAAGAUCAUAUGACAGACUUAAUUCAUGUGCAAGUAUGGGGGGUCUUGGGGAUACUGUAUGCCUAUUCCUGGUAUGACAGAUAAUUUUCUAUUGCUUACAGAAUAAAAGGGGAGGGGUUUCUAAAGUGGGGGUAAGAAUCCAAGUGAGGAGAACACAUUGUCUGUGCAUCCCUGGAUUCUUACAUUUUCAAAACACUAUCAUUUUAUCCACAAUGUUACCAGUUUCUCAAAAUAACCAAGGAAUAUCCAAAAUGUUACACACAGUAAAGCACCAGGGACAGAAAUACGCAUGUCUUUACCUAAAGGCUCAUUUUCUUUCCUAACCCCUUCAUUUUUCAAGGAGAAAAGCCAAGCCCAGAAAAAUGUCUCUGGACAAAAAUCACUCAGCUGCUAACUGGUAGAGUCUCCCUGAGUGUUAGCACCUCUUGGGUGGCUCUGCAAAGCAAUCAUCCUCAUGUCUUGCUGAUAAUGUGACCAUCCUGAGACAGAAUGGAAUUGGAGCUGCAGAUAUGCAGGACUUUUACUCUAAUAGGAAGUGUUCUUUCCCCCAUUGUUUCCCCAAUCAAUACCUUAUCUCUCCCAGGCAAGAAUAGAGUUUGGAGAUGGACUUGCUUACCCGUCUAAAGGAUGUGGAAUUGGAGAAUAAGUGAGCUAAUCUUGGAAGAAUUUUGCAGAAAAACAGGACAUUUCUCCAUGGAUCCAGAGGAAGUGGUAACUGAGGGUUUGAGCUCUAUAGGGAUCUGGCUUCUUCAUGGGUAUUCCUAGUGGAUGGCCUCAAGUCUACAAUAGAGACUGCUUGGCUGUCUGCAGUGGAAAAGACCUUCAAGUUGACUGUGAGUGGGUGCGACUCAUCAAGAAAAAUAACCUCACCACCACAACAACACAUGAUGGGAGAGACCGAAACUUCUUUGGGAGAACAUAAGGGGAAAAAAAAAAGAAAAAGUGAAGUCUAAAUAUUAUUAAACACAUGAAAGCAGAGUCAUUUACUUAUUAGGAAGGCGCUCAUUCACACACAGGUAGACUUGUGGUCCCUUAGAAGUACGUAAACACAACCCGUCAGUCCACCACAGUCAACAUCAGAAUUUCUUGGGAAAUGCCUCAUGAAAGAGUUUUUAAAGAAUAAUAUGACUGUGGAUCUGUCAAAUAAUUUCCCAAAAGCCAUGAAAGAUGAGUUGCUCUGCUCUGUUAUGCAUUUCCUUCCCUUGCACGGGCACUCACAGCUUGCCAAAUUUAGUCUGAGAUCUGAACAGAGAGAAAACAUGAACUCUUUCAACUGAAGUUCGGCUUCCUGUUUCUACAUGGCCUCUCAUACUCUGGGCCAUUCUGCAGAUCUACCCAGGUGUGUUUCCUGGACACUUGAUAAAAAUCAUUCUCACAUCAAAGUUGACCAAAAAUGAUUGAUGAUAAGUAGUUAAGGGUUUAUAAAUGCCAGACUAUGGGAGAUGAUUGUAAAAUAAAUAGAUAUAAAUAAAUAAAUAAACAAAUAAAUGUAAGCCCUCCAGUCUACUUCUAUGUUCAUUUAUUCUUCUGUUUAUAGCAGUCUGAGGCUACUCGAGGCUUAAAACAAAAUAUUGACAUACAGAUGUCAUGUUGGGACAUACAUGUCCAGGU